UAAGGAAUAUUGGUCAAUGGAGGCAACUCUGAACCAGCCAUGCCGCGUGAAGGAUUAAGGCCCUCUGGGUCGUAAACUUCUUUUAUAUGGGAAGAAAUGUUCUGAUUCUUCAGAGCUUGACGGUACCAUCGGAAUAAGCACCGGCUAACUCCGUGCCAGCAGCCGCGGUAAUACGGAGGGUGCAAGCGUUAUCCGGAUUCACUGGGUUUAAAGGGUGCGUAGGUGGGCAGAUAAGUCAGUGGUGAAAUCUUCCGGCUUAACCGGAAAAUUGCCGUUGAUACUAUUUGUCUUGAAUAUUGUGGAGGUAAGCGGAAUAUGUCAUGUAGCGGUGAAAUGCUUAGAUAUGACAUAGAACACCAAUUGCGAAGGCAGCUUACUAUAUAAUUAUUGACACUGAGGCACAAAAGCGUGGGUAGCGAACA
rnacentral:rRNA from 1 species